GCAGUGAGUGAGUCUUCACAGAUUGGUGGUUGUUCCAUUAAAGAAGGCUUGAAUAGAGCACAGGAUUCACCAUAAGAAGAUUGAGAUCCAAAAGUAUUCCACCAAGGCAUUGAUGGCACCGACGACAGCUGCCCAAUUGGAUUAUGGACAAUUCCUUCAUGUUCUUUGAAAUACAGAGUUUCCCCAGCCAUUAAAACACUCCAAAAUGAUCUGAACGAUGGAUUUGAUAGUCUAUAUAGUUCAAAUUAAAUCAGUAACAGUAGCUGAGUAGCAGGUGAGAGCAGCUUCAAGUACUAGAGAAAUAGAAGAGGAG
rnacentral:misc_RNA from 1 species